rnacentral:rRNA from 1 species
GAUGAACGCUGGCGGCGUGCCUAAUACAUGCAAGUCGAGCGAACAGACGAGGAGCUUGCUCCUCUGACGUUAGCGGCGGACGGGUGAGUAACACGUGGAUAACCUACCUAUAAGACUGGGAUAACUUCGGGAAACCGGAGCUAAUACCGGAUAACAUGUUGAACCGCAUGGUUCAACAGUGAAAGACGGUCUUGCUGUCACUUAUAGAUGGAUCCGCGCCGCAUUAGCUAGUUGGUAAGGUAACGGCUUACCAAGGCAACGGUGCGUAGCCGACCUGAGAGGGUGAUCGGCCACACUGGAACUGAGACACGGUCCAGACUCCUACGGGAGGCAGCAGUAGGGAAUCUUCCGCAAUGGGCGAAAGCCUGACGGAGCAACGCCGCGUGAGUGAAGAAGGUCUUCGGAUCGUAAAACUCUGUUAUUAGGGAAGAGCAAAUGUGUAAGUAACUAUGCACGUCUUGACGGUACCUAAUCAGAAAGCCACGGCUAACUACGUG